GUUGACCUCGAAUCAGGUAGGAAUACCCGCUGAACUUAAGCAUAUCAAUAAGCGGAGGAAAAGAAACCAACAGGGAUUGCCYCAGUAACGGCGAGUGAAGCGGCAACAGCUCAAAUUUGAAAUCUGGCUCUCGGGCCCGAGUUGUAAUUUGUAGAGGAUGCUUUUGGUGAGGUGCCUUCCGAGUUCCCUGGAACGGGACGCCAUAGAGGGUGAGAGCCCCGUCUGGUUGGACACCGAUCCUCUGUAAAGCUCCUUCGACGAGUCGAGUAGUUUGGGAAUGCUGCUCUAAAUGGGAGGUAUAUGUCUUCUAAAGCUAAAUACCGGCCAGAGACCGAUAGCGCACAAGUAGAGUGAUCGAAAGAUGAAAAGAACUUUGAAAAGAGAGUUAAACAGUACGUGAAAUUGUUGAAAGGGAAGCGCUUGUGACCAGACUUGGGCUUGGUUGAUCAUCCGGGGUUCUCCCCGGUGCACUCUUCCGGCCCAGGCCAGCAUCAGUUCGCCCUGGGGGACAAAGGCUUCGGGAAUGUGGCUCUCUCCGGGGAGUGUUAUAGCCCGUUGCGUAAUACCCUGUGGCGGACUGAGGUCGC
rnacentral:rRNA from 1 species